AGUAGACCAUCUAUCUUAUAUAUUGCUUAGGAUCUCUUCCAACUACCGAUGUGGGACACUUAGUGUCUAAUAGAAAGAGCCGCUCUGUGGAAUUGUUGUAAACUUUAGCUCCGUUUGUUUUAGUUGAUUGUCUAGUGUUUCAUGUCUCUUUCUGUAGUGUUUCAUUUUCAUGAAGGUGCCUCGCACUCUUUUGUUUUUGCAUUGUUGUUUUAACUAAGUCACAAUCGGCUUUUAAAAUGUUGUUAAUGUGAAUGAUUCUCGUACAAAAUCUCUAUUUAUUAAUAUGGCUGUAUGAUUGAAAAUUUAUUUGUGUAAUGAAGGUGCGCAAUUGCUAGUGUUUCAUGUCCUUUUGUUUCAAAUGUAAA
rnacentral:lncRNA from 1 species